rnacentral:lncRNA from 1 species
UUGUGAAGCAUGAAGACGUAGUGGCGUUUUCCACCGGGGGAGAAAGCACCACGUUGAUGUGCUGUUCUCAGAUACCACCAUGUUCGGGUGCAAUGAUGAAAGAGUGGAAAAGGGUGAUUAGGUUUUGCUGAGUGCCGUGCCAAUGGAUACCUGAAGAACACACUGAACCAGCAGGUCAAGCAAUUGAUACUUACUUUUAUGUUUUAGCAUGCAACUUUUUGGAUCAUUAUUUUUGGAUAAUCCAUGGUUUAUGCAAAUUAGUGUUCUGAGUUCAUCGAAGAAAAUACAUAUAUUGCAAAUAUCAAUCAAUAUAUGCCUCAUUGCACUCUUACCACUUGUUGGCAGUAAAGAUAAAAUCAAAGGGAGAAGAAACCCAGUUUAUGUCAUCCAAGAUUGUGGUGAAAUGGUCAAUCUGGUAGACAUAGAAGUCAGCAUGCAUUAAUAAUUCUUGUAGUUCUCCAGAGAACUUCCUCUGUGUGUGAAUGACUUCAAGGAAUUGCAUGUCAAGUGUCUCUUCCCUUUGGCAACCUUCCUGACCUAAACUAGAGAUGAAAGAUGAAAUGUCUCCCAGAAUAAGAGCAAAGGAGUAGCACUAACUCAUCCUUCAGAGAGAGAGAGAGAGAGAGAGUUGACUCAUUGAUCAUUGAGUUGAAUAUAUAGGAAGCUUUUCCUUUUCUGUUCUUCACGACUGGUUUGCAGUAGAUCUGCUACACUAAUUUAAUGUACACUUCCAAUUACACUAAAAUAUCAUUUAAGAGAAGAAAACCACAGAAACUAUGAUUUACUUUCAGAUAUGCAAAUUGCAACACAUCAAAUAUAAUACCAGCAGCUGAUUAAGCUAAUGACAGUACUAUUUUAUGACUUGCGAAUGUUAUAUCAAGAGAUCAAGUUCUGAUAGUAGUCUAAGGAACGAGUGGUUGCUCUCACAGCUUCAGCGACAAGUCGAUCUCAUCGACGACAUCAUCUAUCUCUCUUCUCUUCGGACCUUCAUGGCACUGGAAGCUGCUGCUCAUACCGAGCACAUGGCGAUGCCAAGCCGCCAAACUCCCACGCUUCGCCAGGCUUCUCUCCAGCUUAUGUGCGUUCUGGUGGCCGCCCAACGCCUGCGAACUGACGAACCUCCGGCGACAGUAGGUGCAUGCGAAGACCCGCGCUGGCUCCGCCGGCAUCGACGGCUUCAACCCGAGUUCCAGACUCACACCAUCGUCCUUCUUCUUCUCAAACUCCAUGGAAGUAUAUAUCACAAGGGAGAAGUGGGGAUGGCUGGAGAUCAGAGAGGAUGAAAGCUAUAAAAGGAGGAAGAAGGCGUGUCAGUAAGUAUGGCACAUGAUGACAUUCAUCGGAUGGUGGAGACGAACCUUUUAUGUAAGCCAUGCAUGGCCAUGACUAGUAGUAUUAGGCCACCUCAAGUUCUCG